rnacentral:rRNA from 1 species
UACGUAGGGGGCGAGCGUUGUCCGGAUUUAUUGGGCGUAAAAGGCUUGUAGGUGGCCACGCCAAGUCGGAUGUGAAAUCUCCCGGCUCAACUGGGAGGGGUCAUUCGAUACUGGCGGGCUCGAGGCCGGUAGGGGGAAGUGGAAUUCCCGGUGUAGUGGUGGAAUGCGUAGAUAUCGGGAGGAACACCAGUGGCGAAGGCGGCUUCCUGGACCGGUUCUGACACUGAGACGCGAAAGCGUGGGGAGCAAACAGG